rnacentral:lncRNA from 1 species
UCUGUCUGAAAAGACAAAAUGUGAUCAAGGAGCUGUUGAUGCUUCAGCUGAGGAUAAAGCCCGUGUGGAUACUGAUUUUACUACAAGAAAUCAGAAAAGUGAAACUAGUGUUGAAAGGAAGGAUGUCACUGUGCAGAACUCUGGCUUGUUACUCAGUCAGAAAGAGAAACCUUGUUUUUCAAAUGCAGAAGUGCUGAAACAUCGGGAAUCAAAUUUCUCUGCUGUUGAAGAAGAUAAAACAAAGGACUGUGGAUCCACCAUUCUGGAGACUUCUUCGGUCUCUGUUGCUGCUCCAGAUUCAGCUUCAAAGGUGAAGUUUGACUUAAAUGAAGGUCUUAUUUCUGAUGAAGGAAAAUACGGGGAGACAAUAAACUUCACAGGCCCUGGAUCUCUAUCCAAUGUCCAUAUUAUGAACCCAUUACCUUUUGCGGUAUCCUCAGUUUCCUGUAGUCUUCCUGCCUCCAUUACAGUGGCCGCUGCCGCCAAAGGUCCGUUUGUUCCACCAGAGGAGCUAUUGAGGGUUAAAGGGGAAUUUGGAUGGAAAGGAUCAGCUGCCACAAGUGCAUUUCGCCCAGCUGAGCCCAGGAAAUCUCUUGAUAUGCCAUUAAGUUCCACAAAUAUCUCUCAUCCUGAAGCUUCUACCAGCAAGCAUACUCGUCCGCAAUUAGAUAUUGACCUGAAUGUUCCAGAUGAAAGAACUUUUGAUGAAAUGAAUUCUCGAGAUUCUGCUCUAGAGUUGAUCUCUCCGUUGGACCAUAUGACUAAUCGUGCUGCAUUGAAGAAUGAAGUAAUAGAUUCUCCUGCUGUUCGCUGUUCUGGAGGACUUGAUCUUGAUUUAAAUAGAGUUGAUGAACCUGGUGAUGUAGGGCAGUGCUCUGUGAGUAGCAGUAGUAGAUUGGGUGGUGCAGUGUUACCUUCCAAAACAUCAUCAUCCAUUGGCUUGCCAACUGGGGAAGUGAGGAGGGACUUUGAUUUAAAUAAUGGGCCUGGUGUUGAUGAUUCCAGCGGGGAAGUGGUGCAGUUUUACCUUCCAAAACAUCAUCCAUUGGCUUGCCAACUGGGGAGGUGAGGAGGGACUUUGAUUUAAAUAAUGGGCCUGGUGUUGAUGAUUCCAGCGCAGAACAGUUUUUAUUCCACGAUAAUCAUCAGGGAAGCAUGCGUUCCCA